rnacentral:rRNA from 1 species
UACGUAGGGGGCGAGCGUUGUCCGGAAUCAUUGGGCGUAAAGCGCGUGUAGGCGGCCCGGUAAGUCCGCUGUGAAAGUCCAGGGCUCAACCCUGGGAUGCCGGUGGAUACUGUCGGGCUCGAGUCCGGAAGAGGCGAGUGGAAUUCCUGGUGUAGCGGUGAAAUGCGUAGAUAUCUGGAGGAAUACCGGUGGCGAAGGCGGCAUCCUGGACCGACAUUGACGCUGAACGGCGAAAGCUAGGGGAGCAAACGGG